ensembl:lncRNA
UGGGGGGUGACGCGUCGUGAUAGGCUGAAGGAGCUGUCCGUCACCGCUGUCGGCCGUAAGGGGCAAAGGGCGAAGGGCGAAGGGGAAGUGGUUGCCAUGGAGACGGGUGGAGGAGGGAGUGGCGCCGCCCAUUGGGCCUGGGCCUGUUCCGCCGCGCCCGCGGUCGUCCCGGGCGGGGCCUGCUGUACAGCCCGUCCUUCAGCACUGCACAAACGCUCUGCGGUCACACCCCGUCUCUCCUCGAAGCUUUUCUGCUGAUCCGUACGUUCGGUGCUAAAUUUAAUGUGCUAAACCCCUGCCGUGCGUGCAGGAAUUGUGUCAGCAGAAGAGGCCCCUCCUCCCCGGCGGUGCUGCCCUCAGCGUGUCUCCGUGCUCUCGGACAUUAACAAAUACCAGAUGGUAAACAGCUCAGCGCUGCCUUUAUCUGUAGGCCCACAGAGGUGAUACAGUGCAGGGAAUGCUUCAGCGGCUCUGAAACGAGGCCAGCAUCGGGCUGGAGGGCAGCAGCUGCUUUCUGCUGCGUGUUGUCACUGUGUGUGCUGCAGUCCUCUGCUUCUGACCAGAAAGGAGGGCAGCAGAGGUUUGGCUGAGUCAGAGGAGGUUCAUGGAGCGCUGUCUGCUGCCCAUCCUCAUGUGCGUGGCAGUGUCCUCCAGGUGUCGGCCCGGCUGCUGGGGGAGGACCCGGCCAUUGAGUCUCCCACACUGCAGUUUACCACAGCAGCAGCAACUCAAGAGCACCACAGAGCGGCAAGAGCUGCCACCUCCUGGUCGAGUGUGCAGCAGAGCUCAUGGGCCGGCAGGGUCCCGUGUGUCCAAACUUCAGUCUCCUCACACCUGUGUUCCCAGAGCCCUGCAGAGCCUACCCUCACUCAGCUGCUCCCAGAGGCUCUGUCCUGGAUGUGGCAUCCCCUCCAGCUGUUGGUAUCUGCUUUUGGACAGUGUUAGGAAAAAAGUGCAGAAAGCAUUGGGAAAAGCUUUUCCAAUACGACCCAUACACUGGUUCUCUUUGGAUUAGCUGAG